CUACGGGCGGCACCAGUGAGGAAUAUUGCACAAUGGGGGGAACCCUGAUGCAGCAACGCCGCGUGGAGGAUGACGCAUUUCGGUGUGUAAACUCCUUUUAUAUGUCAAGAAAAUGACGGUAGCAUAUGAAUAAGCGCCGGCUAACUCCGUGCCAGCAGCCGCGGUAAUACGGAGGGCGCAAGCGUUACUCGGAAUCACUGGGCGUAAAGGACGCGUAGGCGGGUUGAAAAGUCAGGUGUGAAAGCCUACAGCUUAACUGUAGAACUGCACUUGAAACUCUCAACCUAGAGUAUGGGAGGGGCAGAUGGAAUUAGUGGUGUAGGGGUAAAAUCCGUAGAUAUCACUAGGAAUACCUAAAGCGAAGGCGAUCUGCUGGAACAUUACUGACGCUAAGGCGUGAAAGCGUGGGGAGCAAACAGGAUUAGAUACCCUCGUAGUC
rnacentral:rRNA from 1 species